AAGAGAGAGACAUGCGCGCAUAUCAAUAAGCGGAGGAAAAGAAACUAACAAGGAUUCCCCUAGUAACGGCGAGUGAAGCGGGAAGAGCUCAAAUUUGAAAUCUUAAAGGGUUUCCCUUUACGAAUUGUAGUUUAAAGAAGUGUUUUCUGUUGAGGUUUUGGUAAAAGUUCUUUGGAAUAGGACAUCAUAGAGGGUGAGAAUCCCGUAUUUGACCUUUACUUUCAACUUUGUGAUACACUUUCAAAGAGUCGGAUUGUUUGGGAAUGCAGUCCAAAAUGGGUGGUAAAUUUCAUCUAAAGCUAAAUAUUGGCGAGAGACCGAUAGCGAACAAGUACCGUGAGGGAAAGAUGAAAAGAACUUUGAAAAGAGAGUUAAACAGUACGUGAAAUUGUCAAAAGGGAAGCGUUUGACACCAGUGUUGUUUUUCUGAAAAUCAAUUAAAGAACUGUUUAUGCUAAGUUGUUUAGACCUUAUCAGCUAACUGUUUAGUUUUGAGCUUUUCUUUAAUGCACUUUUCAGUUAACAAGUCAACAUCAAUUUCUUUUGCUGUAAAAAAGCUUGAGGAGGGUGGCUUGAGAUUCGUCUUAAGUGUUUAUAGCCUCUUGCCUAUGCAGUCGGAGAGAUUGAGGUCUGCAGCGUAGAUCCUUCGGGGCUAAAUGCAUUUGUGCUAAGUUAUAGCAUUUUAUAGACAACUUGUUGACUAUGAUUUGUCUUGUAGCUUACUCGCUUAUGUUAUUUUACCUACGCUUAGGAUGUUGACGCAUGAGAUAUACGC
rnacentral:rRNA from 1 species